UACGUAGGGUGCGAGCGUUGUCCGGAAUUACUGGGCGUAAAGAGCUCGUAGGUGGUUUGUCGCGUUGUUCGUGAAAUCUCACGGCUUAACUGUGAGCGUGCGGGCGAUACGGGCAGACUGGAGUACUGCAGGGGAGACUGGAAUUCCUGGUGUAGCGGUGGAAUGCGCAGAUAUCAGGAGGAACACCGGUGGCGAAGGCGGGUCUCUGGGCCGUAACUGACGCUGAGGAGCGAAAGCAUGGGGAGCGAACAGG
rnacentral:rRNA from 1 species